UGGAGUUUUCCUGCCUGCAGAAAACAAAGCUUUUGGCUGUCUCUGCUCUCUGCCUUCUUUCCUUGGCUUCCUGCAAGAGCAUCUCCCCAUCAGUUGGAGUAGAGAGUGGGGAGGCAAACAUGGCUUUCAUCUCCUGAGCAAAAAUGCACUUGUCAAACUGGGACACCGACUACACAGAGAUCUACCAAUACCCAAGACCUGUGGAGCACUUCCUAGGCAGUCUGGAAUGGUCCCACAGUGGUACUGGUCUACUUUCUGCGUGCUGAAGAAAUCCAGAGAUCGAGGCCAUCUGGGAGGCACAGAGAUCCCGCACUAGGACCGUGUUCUGUCGGCAGUGUCCAGUCUUUGGGA